GACGAACGCUGGCGGCAUGCCUAAUACAUGCAAGUUGAGCGCUGAAGGUUGGUACUUGUACCAACUGGAUGAGCAGCGAACGGGUGAGUAACGCGUGGGGAAUCUGCCUUUGAGCGGGGGACAACAUUUGGAAACGAAUGCUAAUACCGCAUAAAAACUUUAAACACAAGUUUUAAGUUUGAAAGAUGCAAUUGCAUCACUCAAAGAUGAUCCCGCGUUGUAUUAGCUAGUUGGUGAGGUAAAGGCUCACCAAGGCGAUGAUACAUAGCCGACCUGAGAGGGUGAUCGGCCACAUUGGGAACGAGACACGGCCCAAACUCCUACGGGAGGCAGCAGGAGGGAAUCUUCGGCAAUGGACGAAAGUCUGAACGAGCAACGCCGCGUGAGUGAAGAAGGGUUUCGGAUCGGAAAAAUCUGUUGGUAGAGAAGAACGUUGGUGAGAGUGGAAAGCUCAUCAAGUGACGGUAACUACCCAGAAAGGGACGGCUAACUACGUG
rnacentral:rRNA from 1 species